CCUACGGGAGACAGCAGUGAGGAAUAUUGGUCAAUGGCCGGAAGCCUGAACCAGCCAUGCCGCGUGAAGGUCAGUGCCCUACGGGCGUUAACCCUCUUUUGUGCGGGAGCAAUCAUGGUCACGUGUGGCCAGACGAGAGUACCGUACGAAUAAGCAUCGGCUAACUCCGUGCCAGCAGCCGCGGUAAUACGGGAGAUGCAAGCGUUAUCCUGAUUUAUUUGGUUUAAAGGGUGCGUAGGCUGUGAGGUAAUUCAGCGGUGAAAUGCCACCGCUCAACGGGGUGAAGUGCCAUUGAUACUGCCUGGCUGGAGUGCGGAUGAGGUGAGAGGAAU
rnacentral:rRNA from 1 species